rnacentral:rRNA from 1 species
UACGAAGGGGCUAGCGUUGCUCGGAAUCACUGGGCGUAAAGGGUGCGUAGGCGGGUCUUUAAGUCAGGGGUGAAAUCCUGGAGCUCAACUCCAGAACUGCCUUUGAUACUGAAGAUCUUGAGUUCGGGAGAGGUGAGUGGAACUGCGAGUGUAGAGGUGAAAUUCGUAGAUAUUCGCAAGAACACCAGUGGCGAAGGCGGCUCACUGGCCCGAUACUGACGCUGAGGCACGAAAGCGUGGGGAGCAAACAGG